GAUGAACGCUGGCGGCGUGCUUAACACAUGCAAGUCGAACGAAGCAUUUAGAACAGAUUAUUUCGGUAUGUAAGUUUUUAUGACUGAGUGGCGGACGGGUGAGUAACGCGUGGGUAACCUGCCUUGUACUGGGGGAUAGCAGCUGGAAACGGCUGGUAAUACCGCAUAAGCGCACAAUGUUGCAUGACAUGGUGUGAAAAACUCCGGUGGUAUAAGAUGGACCCGCGUCUGAUUAGCUGGUUGGAGGGGUAACGGCCCACCAAGGCGACGAUCAGUAGCCGGUCUGAGAGGUUGAACGGCCACAUUGGGACUGAGACACGGCCCAGACUCCUACGGGAGGCAGCAGUGGGGGAUAUUGCACAAUGGGGGAAACCCUGAUGCAGCGACGCCGCGUGGAGGAAGAAGGUUUCGGAUUGUAAACUCCUGUCGUUAGGGACGAUAAUGACGGUACCUAACAAGAAAGCACCGGCUAACUACGUG
rnacentral:rRNA from 1 species